UCAGAGGGAGAAGCAGACUCCCUGCCGAGCAGGGAGCCCGAUGCGGGACUCGAUCCCGGGACUCCGGGAUCAUGACCUGAGCCGAAGGCAGUCGCUUAACCAACUGAGCCACCCAGGCGCCCGGUUUUAUUUAUUUAUUAGAGAGAGAGAGAGUGAGAGAGCACAAGCAGCGGGAGCGGCAGACAGAGGGAGAGGGAGAAGCACGCUCCCCGCCGAGCAGAGAGCCCGACGAGGGGCUCGAUCCCAGGACCCUGGAAUCAGGACGCAAGCCGAAGGCAGAUGCUUCACCGACUGAGCCACCCAGGCGCCCCCACGCACAGCCUUUUAUUAUGAAAGGUUCAAACAUAUAUAAAAUCAGAGCGAGUAAUGAGCCACCAGGUACCGAGCACCCAGUUUGAAGAGUGCUUAGUGCAUGCCGGUCUUGUCUCUACCGUCGCCCACUUUACCUCUUUACCUCCCAGAUUAUUGGGGCAUUUAUCCCAUUCAUCCCAAACGUCAUAUAAUUUCAUCCACAAAUAUUCCAGAGUAUCCUUAUGAAAGAUUAGUCCUCAAAAAAUAGUAAUAAUAUCAUUAUUUAAUACCUCGCGUGCAACAAUCAUUCCUUAAUAUCAGCACAUAUCCAGUCUCUCUUCAAACUCAGAAUUGUCUCAGAAAUGUCAAAAUGCAACAAAACCUGGUUUGACUCAAGAUCUCAAUGAGGUCCCCACGGCACACUGGCUGAUGGAUCUCCCAAGUAUGUUUCAUCUCGACGUUGCCCUGUCGUGUAUUUUUCCUUGUAAUUUAUUUGUUGAAAAACCUGGGUUGAAAGGCCUGUAGUGUUUCCCAUGGUUUGUGUACUUCCUGCAGAUUGGGAGCUGGGGCUAGAGACUCGAUCGGAUUCAGGUUGGAUUUCUUUUUUUUUUUGGCAAGAACUCUUGGUAGAGAGCUCUGUGUUCCUCUCUCGGGAGGCACGGUGUCUGUCCUGCUGGCUCUGUGGUGUGACCAGCUGUUGAUGGUCAGUGACUGAUGGCUAAUUUAUUAGUGGUUGCAAACUGGUGAUAUCUCAUUCUGUUAUCGCUACUUCAUUUAUUUCUGUGCUCCUCUGGACAGAAACUUAGCUUCCUCUACUAUUUGGCUACCUGCUGAUGCUUUUUUUUUUUUAAAGAUUUAUUUAUUUAUUUUAUUUAUUUAUUUUUUAAUUUAUUUGAGACAGAGAGAAUGAGAGAGAGAGAGCAUGAGAGGGAGGAGGGUCAGAGGGAGACGCAGACUCCCCGCCAAGCAGGGAGCCCGAUGCGGGACUCGAUCCCGGGACUCCAGGAUCAUUACCUGAGCCGAAGGCAGUCGCUUAACCAACUGAGCCACCCAGGCGCCCCCCUGCUGAUGCUUGUGUAAUCCCAGUAAUGGUUUUCUAAAUUACCCUGGUCUUCCAAUGGUGGUCAAGUAGGGAUUUAAAAAAAAAUAAUUAUGAACUCAUGGAUUCAAAGAUAUUUCGUAUGUUUCAGUGGAUUGUGAUAAUUACCCUUACCGAGUGUUUUUCCCCUGUAGGUAAUCAUUAAAACAAUAUAUGGUGUAUCCUUGGUGGCAGUUGGAAAACAUGGCCAGAAAUGUUUGGACAUUCGUGCCAUUGAGAGAUGUGGUCUGUGUGUCCCCCCUUGGCUCUGGGUGACUUGUCAGUGCUUUAGCCCCCAGCAGAGUGUGGCACCAGUGAUGCUCAGGACCUUCUGAGCUGGGUUGUACAAGGCCACAGAGCCUAAUCCUGACUCACUCAAGACACUGCUGCUUGGACCCCUCACUGCCCCCAGACCCUUUGCUGGAGGGACCGCGUGUAGGCACAGCGACCCACAGUCCCCGCCAUGCCCUGCCUUCCAGCUGGCCCCACCAAACACCAGUCAUGUGAGUGAAGGCAUCCUGGAUCUUCCAGACCAGCUCACCUCCAAGCAGAUGCCGGUGAGUAACCUGCAUCAGCACCCUGGGGAAAAGCAAAAUCCCCCCAGCCAGCCCUCCCUCAAUUCCUGACCCACAAAGUAAUAAUAAAACGAUUGUCUAAGCCUAACGUUGAGCUAGUCAUGGUACAAUGGAUAAUUGGAACGUUCUUCCUUUUGUCUCUUUGACAUAAGCUGGCUCAUACCUGCGUGUAUCCUCCUCCUUUAUUAGAUCGAUGGCAGCAUACCCCAGUGACUGUCCUCCACCUCACAGGUUUUCACCAGACAAUAUGUUCUGGCCGUCAGUCCAGAGCGAUUUCAAGCAUAGUAUUGGAGUUUCCUUUCUUCGCCAACCUGAAAACCUUUUUUCUAUUAAUAGAUGAGCUAAGACCAUAUAAUCAAUACGUGUAGCCUCAGUUCUGUCGCAUUGUUUUAUGGUACAUUUAUACCUAUGUAAGUUUUUAAAAGAAAUUGUCUUUCAGUAUGGUUUUCAUCUUCUCCCUCUCUUUGGCUUGAUCUUUUUGGUACUUAGGAAAAUUUCCUAUAUCUGCUCCCAUUGUUAUCUUUAUACUCAUGUCUGUAUGAAAUACUUUCCGUCCCCUCUCUUUUUGUCUAUUCUCUACUAUGAGCAAUAUUGAAACUUGCUCUGAUCCUCUUCCCGCAGCACCUGAUUUGAAUUAAUAUCCUUUUGCUUGCAGACAUGAACCGCAAGGCAUUCAGCAAGCCUGCUCCAGUUUUUAUACACUCUUCUCGCGUUCCCUCAAAUAUAUGGUGGCCAUAUUGCAUCAGACUGUACUCUAGCUCUUAUAACCAUUAAUUGGUCUUCACUGUACAAGGAACUACGUGGUCUAUAUGUUUACCACUCACCCACCUUUUGUUCGUGUUUCUCGGGUCAUUUCUGUUGUCUGAGCUUCAGAUUUUCUGAGAGCGUCCUCAAAAGGUGCGCACGGGAACAAUAUCCUUGGAGUCCUUGCUUGUUGAUAAGUGUUUAUAACCUUUAUAUUUGGAAAUCUGUUUGGCUAGAUCUACCAUCCUUGGCUCAUGCUGUACUCCCUUCCUUGUAAAUAAGCCUUCUAGUUGCUCCUGGCAGGAAGUUUUGAUGUAGGUAAGUCUGAUGACAACCUGAUUUUCCUGAUAAGUGACUGUGUCUUUUUUUGCCUGCAUUCUCAAGGGCAUCUGUAGAAUCUGUCUCUCUGUUGGAUAUUCUGGGUCAGUCUUUCCAGGUAUCCAAUGUUGUUUCAAGUUAGUUAUUUCAGGAACGGAUUUUGUUGUUGUUGUUUUGUUUUUUGUUUUUUGUUUUUAUUUAUAGUGUGUAGACUUUGUUUGAGUCUUUAGCUUUGGUGACCUUCUUCAGCGACCUCUAUUAUACAUAUGUUAGCUCUUUCCGCCUAUUCUCUGCAUAGGCACUUUUUCGCACCCAUGUUUUUCUAAUGCCCCUACAACUUAUCUUCUCAAUUCCUUAGGUGCAUCUGGUGUGCUUAUUUGCUCCCGUGUUCCUUUCAGGUUGGGCUUUAUUCUUUAAUGAGGACUCCCUUUUGUUUCUAAUUCUAGCACAUCAUUCCUGAGGUCCUUUCAUUUUGAUUUGUUAUUCUUUUGUGUCUUUUAUUCCUUCGAAAAUUUCUGUUGACUCAUUUUUAAAUAUCAGGAAACGGUUUUUAUGUUCUCGGGCAUGUGUUCUAUGGGCACACAUUUCGGGGGUGCCCUCAUUAUCUGUGGUGACAUUGCCUGUUAUUCUCAUUUUCACGAAGAUAACUUUGUAUGGGAUUUAAUGACAAUCUUUUCUGAUUCUCAUUUUUAUAUGAAAGGAGUUUUCUGAACUUUCCAGAGGAGGGAGGGGUCAGUAUCUGUUUUUAAGCUUCGUAGCUCUAGAGUUCACUCUUCUGUUGUGUCUACGGAAUGUUAAAAAAAAAAUAGGUCUUGAAUCCCCUCUUCCCUUCUAUGUAGACCUUCUCUUCCCUCUUUCUUUCUCUCUCUCUCUCUCUCUCACUCUCUCCCUUUCUCUUGUUUCUAUGUUGUGGUUCCUAUUGUCUCUGUUAUGCCCAAUUUGGUUUCUCCUUUCAGCAGAUCAUUCUCAGUGUGGUCCUGCCCUGAAAGGGACUUUUAGUUUAUUAGUAUUGAGAGUUCAUAGGGCCUGCGCUGUUCCGGCCCCUUCAGAUCUUUCUGGGGGUCACUUGAGCUCAUCUGCACUUGGGAGUAGGUGGUUGAGUCCUCCCAGUUUCCGAGAGUCAUAUAUCACUUCCAGACUGAAGCAGUGAAGACUGGCUGUGCUCUUCUGUCUCUGGCUCUGGACAAAGAGGAGCUCCACACAGAGGAAGACCACUGCAUGUUGCCCACAGAUCCUAUGCUCUCAGCUGGACGCAAUGGGCGGGGGAGGGACAUAGGUGUUUUCCCUUAAGGAAGGGGUGCCUUCUCUGUGUAGGGAGGAGGGCGCAACAGGUAUUUGGAGUAUUAGGGCAGAAACAACGAGCACUCACUGAAGAUCCACAUUUCCAGUCCUCCUUGCCAUUGGGGUGGGGUCAUGUGACUUGUUCUGGCCACACACUACUAACAGAUGUGACCUGGGUUAAUUCCAAGUUGACACGGGUAAGAACUGCAACUCUCCUCCAACCAUUGUCCCUUGUUGGUGCUAAUUGUGGAAGUCAUGUGUCAGGAUGGUAGAUCCACAAGAUGGCAGCUGCCUGGAUGCCGGAUGCACCAUGUGGAGGAGGGCCACCCUGCACAGUCCUCCAACUUAUCUGAGACUGGGACAGGAGUAUGAGACAAACCUCAGUUUGGUGACGAUUGUGGGGGGCUGUUACCAUAGCAUAUCUUAGUCUCUCCUGACCAACAGAGAUGUGUACUAUUUUUUUACGCAAAAUUAAGACCCUACCAACCAUGUCAUUAACAACAAGCUCAGAGAAACUGUUAAACAUCAGCUUUGUUGAGGUAUAAUUUAUAGACAAUAAAAUAUUUGUCUCUAAAUAUAAUAGUUUAUAGACAAUAAAAUCCGCCAAUUUUUAAAAAAUGUUUUAUUUAUUUAUUCAUGAAAGUCAGAGAGAGAGAGAGAGGCAGAGGCAGAGGGAGAAGCAGGCUCCCCGCCUAGCAGGGAGCCCGAUGCGGGACUCGAUCCCAGAACCCUGGGAUCAUGACCUGAGCCGAAGGCAGACGCUUAACCAUCUGAGCCACCCAGGCGCCCCCAAAUCCGCCAAUUUUAAGUGACAUUUUGACGAGUUUGAUAAAUAGAGACAACUGUGUAACCACCACCACAAUGAAGAUAUAGGACACUUCCUUCAUCCCCCCAAUUUGCUCCUGCUGAUUUGCAAUUGACCUCCAUUCUCACCCCCAGCUCCUGACAAACACUGAUGUGUUUUCUGUCCCUGUAGUUUUGCCUGUCCCAGAUUGCUGUAUAGAGACCAUCAUACUGUAGCUCACCUUUGGUGUCUCGACUCAUUCAUUUAACGUAACGUCUCUGAGAUUUAGCCAAAAGUCUGUUCCUCUUUAUUGUCCACUAGUACUCCAUUGUAGGGAUACACCACGUUGUUCUACUCAUCACCUGAUGGACAUUUGGGUUAUUUCCAGUUUUUGACUAUUGUAAAUAAAACUCAUGAACACAUGUGCUCAAGUUUUUGUGGCCGUGUUUUCAUCUCUCUUGGGUAAAUGUCUAAGAGUAUAAUUUCUGGGUUGUAUGGUAAACCCGUGUUGGAUAGAAGACACCAUCCACUGUGUUCCAACAUGGGUGUCCCAUUUCGCGUUCCAGUCAUCUGUCUAUCAGAGUAUAACCUGCUUUUUAUCUCAACUAGUGUUGCCCUGCCAAAGGGAGACAUUUUUCUGAAACAUGACUUCAGUGGUUUUGAUAGUUCAAACCAUUCCCUGUUGUUUGACAUUUAGGUCACUUGCAUUUUUCCCUGAUUGUAGAAACGAUUGUGAAGGACAUCUCGUACAUGAAUUGUACUGCACAUCUCUGCCUGUUCCCUCAGGUGAAAUUCCUACCGUGGCUACUCCAGGUUAAAGGGUACACACUUUUCUUUAGACUUUGGGUACAUACUGACAUAUAUCGCCUUCUUACCAAUUCAUAAUUAGGACAAGCGGUGUGGGAUCAUGUUCAUCCCUUUCUUACGUCAUUUGAAAGACCCCUUCGUAUAAUGGGAAUAUUGGUCUUUUCUGUGUCUUCUGUAUUGUUAAUAGUGUUCACAGUUUGUGUUUUGCCUUUUUAACUCUGCUCAGGGCGUUUUUAUCCACAGAUGUUUUAAACUGUUUUGUCAUCCAACGUGUCAACUGAUUUUUUUGUGAUUUCUGUCUUUGGUGUUAUGCUUGGAAAGGCCUUCCUCAUCUGAAGAUUAUAAAAAUAGUCACCUAGAUUUCUUUAUUUUUUAAAGAACUUCAGUCUUUACAUUUAGGGCUUUGUGUAUUUAUUUUGUAACUGUGAAAUUUAUGAGGCAUACCAAAGAGUCUAUGACACAUAUGCAAGUUUAACAAAUCAUAACAAUAAAAAUGCUCACCCCAAAAAUAAUCGGGGAAAAAAGAAGUGACAGAAGAGAUACAGCAUUUGCCUUAUUUGUUUCAUUUAUGCAGACGUUAAAACUGAAGAAAACUGAAGUAUAUGUUGUUUAAGCAAAAUAGUAAAAGAAAGCACGGAAAUGAACAGCAUUCUAAAGGGCCAUUUCUUCUACAAAGGAGGGAGGGGUAACACCAGGCAGGGACACUCAGGGCUUCAGAGGUCUCCGAUGCUAUUUCUUCAGAUGGGUGGUGCUCCCACAGGUUCAUCUUAGCGUUCUGGUUUAAACUGGACACAGUCAUUUUAUAUACCCUUUUGCUUGUAUAUUCCACGUCACUUAAACAUUUUUUAAUUGUGGUACAAUUUACCAUAAAAUUUAAGUAUACAGUUCAGUAGUGUUAUGUAUCUUCACAUUGUUGUGCAACCAAUCUCCAGAACUCUUUUCACCCUGCAAAACUAAAACUCUGUCCCCAUUGAACAACUCCCCACUCCCUCUUCCCCACAGACCCUGGCAACAACCAUUCUACUUUCUUGUCUCUAUGACUUUGACUACUCUAGGUGCUUUAUAUAAGUGGAAUCAUGUAAUUUGUCUUUUUGUGACUGACUUACUUCAUUUAGUAUAAUAUGUCCUCAAGGUCCACCCAUGUUGUAGCAUGUGUCAGAAGUUGCUUCCUUUUUAAGGCUAAAUAAUAUUCUAUUGUACGAAUACACCACAUUUUAUUUAUCCAUUCAUCCGUCACUGCACUCCACAUAGAAUUGUAUUUUAUUUUAUUUUAAGAUUUUAUGUAUUUAUUUGACAGAGGGAGACACAGCGAGAGAGGGAACACAAGCAGGGGGAGUGGGAGAGGGAGAAGCAGGUUUCCUGCCGAACAGGGAGCCCGAUGCGGGGCUCAAUCCCAGGACCCUGGGAUCAUGACCUGAGCCGAAGGCAGACGUUUAACAACUGAGCCACCCAGGCACCCCUCCACAUAGAAUUUUAAAGAAAAAAAAUAAAAAUGUCAACUCUUUGCUUCUGCAUUUGACUCUAUCAUUUACUAGGAAUGUAUUUGAGUAUAUGGUGUGAGGUAGGGGUAGGCAGCCUACUCUGAAUUUCUUGACUUCUGAGAACUGUGAGAAGUUCCCUCCUUCAUUUUGCAAGCUUUAGUAUAAACUUACACCAUGUGGGGAUGCUAAAAUAAAGCAUCUCUUCUUUUAUUCACCAAGUAUGAAUUGAGUAUCUGCUACUUGCCAGGAACUCUUGUAGGCCUGGGGGGGAGGAGCUCCAUGAAGAUGGAUAUAGACCCUGCUCUCACACCACCAGUGAAUGGUGUCAAGAGCUGGCAGAUGGGGACCAGUGUGGGAUCAGAGGAGAGAGUGGUCACUUCCGGCUUUGGGAGGGAUGGGAAGAGAGGCAGAGAGGGAACAACCUAGCCAGAGGCCUGAAAGCCUAAUGCAGCUCUCAUUUCCUACUUUGUCACUUAGAAAGCAUUUAGUGGCAGGUGACAGAAAUCCCAGUGGCAGUGGCUCAAAUAGUCAUAUAAAGAAAAUUUCAGCAGCAUCUGUUUCCAGAGCUCGAUGGAACCCCACCUCUUUGCAUCCUUUAGUUUGGCCCCGGUCAGUGUGUUCACUUUAGUUCUCAGGCUUAUUGCCCGACAGCUGCAAGAUGGUCACCUCAGCUUCGGCCACCACAUCUUUUCACGCCGGCCUGCGAAGGCUGGAGGCAAGGGGGUAGCGACCGUAUAAAGAGUCUGCUCCUCCCAGGUCUCCCUCUUUGUACCAGGAGGCUCAUCUUUCCUAGGCAUCCCGUGCAGCUCACUGUUGGGAAGUCACGGAACAGCCACAGACCGACCACUGGAGGUGGGGAGCGGGAUUCCGUGGCCGGUUUAGGCCAGUCAGGAGUCAUCCUCUAGAGCCAUGCUGUCCAAGAUGGCACUCACUAGCCACGCCUGGCUACCCAACACUGGAACGGUAUGCAGCUUGGGAGACCGAGGAACUGCAUUUAUAUUAAAUUCCAUUUCAGUUCAUUGAAAUGUAAAUGGCUACUGUAAUAUUAGGACAGCACAGCUCUAGAGUCUGGGCACUUUGCCGUUGGCUGAAUAAGGUCUGGGCUGGUUUAUUCAGGGAGAAGAGAGCAUAAUCGAUGGUGUGUGUGUUGGGGGAGGCAGGGUAGAGGCGUGUGGAGGCCGGCGUGGCCUCACACACUUGCGAUUCUUUCCUCAGGAUGGGGGUGAGGGGGACGCUCACCUCAUGAGGUGGUGGGAGCACUGGCUUCACCGCUUCCCAGACCUUCAGGCCCAUCCUGCACGCUGUAGGAGGCACAGUUCCUCUCCAGUGUCUCUGAGGACCCUCUGGCUCUGGUUUCGUGCUUCUCCUAAAUGUUCCAACCCCUCUUCGGGUCUCUCCAGCUGAGGCCCCGAAGAAUAUGGAGGAACUGACGGCGCCGCAUAAUUCCAGAUGUCCUUUAUCCUGCCCUGAAUCUCAGUUACUAACUCGCCUUUGCCUGGUGGACCAGAGAGGACCAGAGAGGGCCAGCUGCAGAUGUGUCUUCCACAGGAACGCAAACGUGAGCAGCCUUCGGGGAGGGGCGUCGCUAGGCCAUUUCACAGAAUUGUAAGCAUCGCGAGGAUGAGGAUGGUUCGCUUCCUUCCUGGGUUGGCAGCGUCCAGAAAUGACACAGAGCAACUGUUACACAUCCUAAUCAUGUCCAUGUCACAGUUAUCCCUUAAGUCGGGCCCUCUAUAAGCCCUCACCGUGUUUUAAUAGGAAUUGUAGCCCAUGUGAGCGCUGCUCUGUACCUCGCGAUCGAUCUUAGACGUGUCUCACGUCAGGAACAAUCAAGCCACCUCGUUCUUCUCUGCUCUCUCACAUUCUCUGGUCGAAUGUGGCUGAUACCGAGGCUAUCAGUGGCCCGAGCUGGGCAUCCCCGUGUCUGGCCCUGCGCUCUUGCAAAGAGCCCGUUGUAAGCAGCCUUGCUCGGGUGUUGCUUCACACACGUGGGAGGAGACCCGUGAGCUCCUGAGUCUUUAGUGGGCCCGGGGCCAGUGAUUUCGGCAAGCUUGCCUAAACGGCCCUCCAUGGCGGCCGUCUAGCCAGGAUAAAUCUGCUCCCAUGGCCCUGUGCCACGCUGAGGUCUUUGCCACUCUGAUCGAAAUGGCACCUCCAGGUUGCUUGCAUUUCACACAGGUCCCUAGGGCUCCAGUCCGUGUGGAGAGAUGAUGGUGCCCAGGGUGCACGUCUGGGUGAAGACUGUCUCAAACACAAGACCAAAGGCCUGCAGGAGUCCAGAUGAGGCCCAAAGCCAGCCCUGAAGGACCUCCUGGAGGAGGAGGAUGUGGGCAGUGUGGGUUCUGGAGUAUCCCUGGCAGAAGAAACAGCCUGAGCUUGGACCUGGAGAGACUUUCCUAGCAACUGACUCCAAUUCCCAGCACAAAUGACAGAUCGAACCCAAACUUCAAACUCAGCGAGCUUCAAGGUCCUGCCAGCCUAUCUCGUCUCUCCACUCACUGCUCCCGCCAUUGAUCCUAGAAGCUUGGGGACACUUGACGAAGCUUGUGCCUACCCAAUGGCACUCGGUGAAUGCCAGGCCCUGAGACACAGCCGCGAGAGAGACAAACAUUCCAGUGGAGGAGAUGGAAAAUGAGCGCGUGAAGGAACAAACGGGACCAGUUCCCAGAAGGAAAGGGCCACGGGGGAGACAGAACAUGGCGUCACGUGAGACAAGGUUGGAGUGGCCGCUGGAGUCUGAGGAUCUGGGGGGGCCUCCCCGAGGAAGGGGCCUUGGAGCUGGGGCCUGGAUGGUGAGAAGGAGCCGGCAGGCAGGGCCCGGUCCAUCCUUGGGUAAAUCAGCCCCUGCCAUGGCCUCAGGUAACUCAUCUAUCCAAUGGGGGGCAUCGGACUGAAACGUGGGGACUCUGAAAUGCUCGAGCUCUGGGAACCAGGAUCUGCAGCACGCCACAGGCCCAGAGAAGGUUUCCAAGCGGUUGGCCAGAGAUCAGACUCCCGCUGGGGCUGCGCCCCCAACAACAGUGGCCCUGGGCAGGUGGUCAGGGAGAGUGACACAAAACAGAUACUACUGUUUCCAUUUUACUGUAAGAAAAUUAAAAAAGACAUUUUGCCUUCACAAGUAUGUCUGGGAAUGGAACAUGGGGUGGGAAAUGGGACUGUGAGGCCGAAUCAUUGCUGAGGGCUCUUGGGAGUGGGCCCCAGGGGCCUCCACCUCCCCAUCUCUGAAAUAGCCAUGCUAAUUGCCCCCCUGGUGCUGGAGCCAAGAUGAGGCCCCCAGGGAGCUGAGCUCCCGUUACAGAGGCUCAGGGAUACUGAGAUCAGUAUCAGGGAUACUGAG